CCAGCAUGGCCCCAAAUGACCCCAAAUCCCCCCCAAAAUGGCCGCCACGCCCCCUUUGUCUCCUUCCUUUCCCCUUCCAGGACCUCAUUUCUCCCUUUUCCCCUUCCAGGACCCAGCACCGUACCUCAGAUCUUCCCCUUCCCCCCUCACCCGGAAGAGCUCUCCCAGUCUCGCGUCACUCUGGGUUGCCUGGUCCGCGGUUUCCGCCCGCGUGACAUCGAGAUCCGGUGGCUCCGCGAUCACCGGAACGUCCCAACCACGGAUUUCGUCACCACUUCCGUCCUCCCGGAAGAAAGAUCCAGUAAUGGCGACACCGGAAGUGAAGGUGAAACCUACUUUGUGUACAGUAAGAUGAGCGUGGAGGCCAGCAGUUGGCGCGGCGGAACCGUUUUCGCCUGCAUGGUGGUGCACGAGGCGCUGCCCAUGCGCUUCAGCCAGCGCACGCUGCAGAAACAGGCUGGUAAAUAAAGGAUGGGGUGUGAAACCCUCGUGCAAUGCACAA